rnacentral:lncRNA from 1 species
AUUGACCAAAUGGUUGCGUGUAAAAAGUUUUGAUCCACCUCUCGUGAAAAAGACAAAUUCCUGCCGAUUCAGGUGGAAGCGGGUCAAAUUUGAUCCGUAGCUACCUCGUAGUUUGCUCUUUAUUUUUUCCAAAAAUCAUUUCUAGGUACAUAAGUAUCUAUUUAAUCAGAGAAACAUCAAAAGGUCGCCAAGAUUCAACAACUAGCUACGAACGGUCAAGCCCGCCGUUUUGACCGCAUUUUGAAACGGGCAUAAAAAAUUCAAAAAAAAUCAAAAAAUUGGAAAACCUUUGCAUUGUGUCAUCAUAUGUGACUAAGUUCCCAGCAAAUAUAAUAAACUUGUAAUACGGCAAUUAUUUUAAAAAAGUGUUCUCAGAAACGAGCUAUCAAGUGUGAAGAUUCAUGGCUUUCAAGCCAAAUGAUCUUUCUUAUGGCCACAUUCAUGCCAUAGUUUGUUCAAAUGAUCUUAUAUUGUGCGCAAGGAUACAUCUUGGAAUGGCAGACAAUGUUUCCUAAGGAAGUUUUCAUUUUCUUUGGAUGAAAAAAUCAUUUUCCAUUUUUCGAGUGCCCGAAAUGAGUUUUUUUGUGAAGGACCUAUAAUAUAUUUGUUGCAAAAUUGUACCAAAUCAAUUUCCUAAUACUAGGACAUAUUUAAAUGCACAAUUGACCAAAUGGUUGGGUGUAAAAACUUUUGAUCCACCUCUCGUGAAAAGGACAAAUUCCCGCCGAUUCAGCCAGAAGCAGGUCAAAUUUGAACCGUAGCUACCUCGUAGUCUCCUCUUUAUUUUUUCCAAAAAUCAUUUCUAGUUAGAUAAGUAUCUAUUUAAUUAGAGAAACAUCAAAAGGUCUCCAAGAUUCAACAACUAGCUAGGAACGAUCAAGCCCGCCGUUUUUACCGCAUUUUGAAACGGGCAUAAAAAAUUCAAAAAUAUCAAAAAAUAUGAAAACCUUCGCAUUGUGUCAACAUAUGUGACCAAGUUUCCAGCAAAUAUAAUAAAGUUGUAAUACGGCAAUUAUUUUAAAAAAGUGUUCUCAGAAACGAGCUAUCAAGUGUGAAGAUUCAUGGCUUUCAAGCGAAAUGAUCAAUCUUAUGGCCACAUUCAUGACAUAGUAUGUUCAAAUGAUCUCAUAUUGUGCACAAGGGUGCAUCUUCGAAUGGCAGACAAUGUUGCCUAAGCAAGUUUUCAUUUUCUUUGGAAGAAAAAUUCAUUUUCCAUUUUUCGAGUGCCUGAAAUGAGUUUUUUUGUGAAGGACCUAUAAUAUAUUUGUUGCAAAAUUGUACCAAAUCAAUUUUCUAAAAUACUAGGACAUAUUUAAUGCACAAUUGACCAAAUGGUUGGCUGUAAAAAGUUUUCAUCCACCUCUCGUGAAAAGGACACAUUCUCGCUGAUUAAACCGGAAACGGGUCAAAUUUGAACUGUAGCUACCACGUAGUUUGCUCUUUAUUUUUUCCAAAAAUUAUUUCUAGGUACAUAAGUAUCUAUUUAAUGAGAGAAACAUCAAAAGGUCUCCAAGAUUCAACAACUAGCUAUGAACGGUCAAGCCCGCCGUUUUGACCGCAUUUUGAAACGGCCAUAAAAAAUUCAAAAAAAUCAAAAAAAAUGGAAAACCUUCGCAUUGUGUCAUCAUAUGUGACCAAGUUUCCAGCAAAAAUAAUAAACUUGUAAUACGACAAUUAUUUUAAAAAGUGUUCUCAGAAACGAGCUAUCAAGUGUGAAGAUUCAUGGCUUUCAAGCCAAAUGAUCAAUCUUAUGGCCACAUUCAUGACAUAGUUUGUUCCAAUGAUCUCAUAUUGUUCACAAGGGUACAUCUUGGAAUGGCAGACAAUGUUGCCUAAGGAAGUUUUCAUUUUCUUUGGAAGAAAAAUUCAUUUUCCAUUUUUCGAGUGCCCGAAAUGAGUUUUUUUGUGAAGGACCUAUAAUAUAUUUGUUGCAAAAUUGUACCAAUUCAAUUUUCUAAAAUACUAGUACAUAUUUAGUGCACAAUUGACCAAAUUGUUGGGUGUAAAAAGUUUUGAUCCACCUCUCGUGAAAAAGACAAAUUCGAGCCGAUUAAGUUGGAAUUGGCUCAAAUUUGAACUGUAGCUACCUCGUAGCUUGCUCUUUAUUUUUUCCAAAAAUCAUUUCUAGGUACAUAAGUAUCUAUUUAAUCUGAGAAACAUCAAAAGGUCUCCAAGAUUCAACAACUAGCUAGGAACGGUCAAGCCCGCCGUUUUGACCGCAUUUUGAAACGGCCAUAAAAAAUUCAAAAAAAUAAAAAAAAUUGGAAAACCUUCGCAUUGUGUCAUCAUAUGUGACCAAGUUUUCCAGCAAAAAUAAUAAACUUGUAAUACGACAAUUAUUUUAAAAAAGUGUUCUCAGAAACGACCUAUCAAGUGUGAAGAUUCAUGGCUUUCAAGCCAAAUGAUCAAUCUUAUGGCCACAUUCAUCACAUAGUUUGUUCAAAUGAUCUCAUAUUGUGCACAAGGUUGCAUCUUGGAAUGCAGACAAUGUUUCCAGAGGAAGUUUUAAUUUUCUUUGGACGAAAAAUUCAUUUUCCAUUUUUCGAGUGCCCGAAAUGAGUUUUUUUGUGAAGGACCUAUAAUAUAUUUGUUGCAAAAUUGUACCAAAUCAAUUUUCUAAAAUACUAGGACAUAUUUAAUGCACAAUUGACCAAAUGGUUGGAUGUAAAAAGUUUUGAUCCACCUCUCGUGAAAAAGACAAAUUCCUGCGGAUUCAGCUGGAAGCGGGUCAAAUUUGAACCGUAGCUACCUCGUAGUUUGCUCUUUAUUUUUUCCAAAAGUCAUUUCUAGAUACAUAAGUAUCUAUUUAAUCAUAGAAACAUCAAAAGGUCUCCAAGAUUCAACAACUAGCUAGGAACGGUCAAGCCCGCCGUUUUGACCGAAUUUUGAAACGGGCAUAAAAAAUUAAAAAAAAAUCAAAAAAUUGGAAAACCUUCGCAUUGUGUCAUCAUAUGUAACCAAGUUUCCAAAAAAAUCAUAAACUUGUAAUUCGACAAUUAUUUUAAAAAGGUGUUCUCAGAAACGAGUUAUCAAGUGUGAAGAUUCAUGGCUUUCAAGCCAAAUGAUCAAUCUUAUGGCCACAUUCAUGACAUAGUUUGUUCAAAUGAUCUCAUAUUGUGCACAAGGGUGCAUCUUGGAAUGGCAGACAAUGUUUCCUAAGGAAGUUUUCAUUUUCUUUGGAAGAAAAAUUCAUUUUCCAUUUUUUGAGUGCCUGAAAUGAGUUUUUUGUGAAGCACCUAUAAUAUAUUUGUUGCAAAAUUGUACCAAAUCAAUUUCUAAAAUACUAGGAAAUAUUUAAUGCAUAAUUGACCAAAUGGUUGGGUGUAAAAAGUUUUUAUCCACCUCUCGUGAAAAAGACAAAUUCCUGCCGAUUCACUUGGAAGCGGGUCAAAUUUGAAUUGUAGCUACCUCGUAGUUUGCUCUUUAUUUUUUCCAAAAAUCAUUUAUAGGUACAUAAGUAUCUAUUUAAUCAGAGAAACAUCAAAAGGUCUUGGAGAUUCAAGAACUAGCUAGAAUCGGUCAAGCCCGCCGUUUUUACCGCAUUUUGAAACGGGCAUAAAAAAUUCAAAAAAAAAAUCAGAAAAUUGGAAAACCUUCGCAUUGUGUCAUCAUAUGUGACCAAGUUUCCAGCAAAAAUAAUAAACUUGUAAUACGGCAAUUAUUUUAAAAAAGUGUUCUUAGAAACGAGCUAUCAAGUGUGAAGAUUCAUGGCUUUCAAGCCAAAUGAUCAAUCUUAUGGCCACAUUAAUGACAUAGUUUGUUCAAAUGAUCUCAUAUUGUGCACAAGGGGGCAUCUUGGAAUGACAGACAAUGGUUCCUUAGGUAGUUUUCAUUUUCUUUGGAAGAAAAAUUCAUUUUCCAGUUUUCGAGUGCCCGAAAUGAGUUUUUUUGUGAAGGACCUAUAAUAUAUUUGUUGCAAAAUUGUACCAAAUCAAUUUUCUAAAAUACUAGGACAUAUUUAAUGCAUAAUUGACCAAAUGGUUGGGUGUAAAAAGUUUUGAUCCACCUCUCGUAAAAUAGACAAAUUCCUGCCAAUUCAGUUGGAAGCGGGUCAAAUUUGAACCGUACCUACCUCGUAGUUCGCUCUUCAUUUUUUCCAAAAAUGAUUUCUAGGUUCAUAAGUAUCUAUUUAAUCAGAGAAACAUCAAAAGGUCUCCAAGAAUCAACAACUAGCUAGGAACGGUCAACCCGCCGUUUUGACCGCAUUUUGAAACGGGCAUAAAAAAUUCAAAAAAAUGAAAAAAUUGGAAAACCUUCGCAUUGUGUCAUCAUAUGUGACAAAGUUUCCAGCAAAAAUAAUUACCUUGUAAUACGGCAAUUAUUUUAAAAAAGUGUUCUCAGAAACGAGCUAUCAAGUGUGAAGAUUCAUGGCUUUCAAGCCAAAUGAUCAAUCUUAUGGCCACAUUCAUGACAUAGUUUGUUCAAGUGAUCUCGUAUUGUGCGGAAGGGUGCAUCUUGGAAUAGCAGACAAUGUUUCCUAAGGAAGUUUUCAUUUUCUUUGGAAGAAAAAUUCAUUUUCCAUUUUUUGAGUGCCCGAAAUGAGUUUUUUUGUGAAGGACCUAUAAUAUAUUUGUGGCAAAAUUGUUCCAAUUCAAUUUCCUAAAAUACUAUGACAUAUUUAAUGCACAAUUGACCAAAUGGUUGGGUGUAAAAAGUUUUGAUCCACCUCUCGUGAAAAGGACAAAUUCCCGACGAUUCAGCCGGAAGCGGGUCAAAUUUGAACGGUAGCUACCUCGUAAUUUGCUCUUUAUUUUUUCCAAAAAUCAUUUCUAGGUACAUAAGUAUCUAUUUAAUCAGAGAAACAUCAAAAGGUCUCCAAGAUUCAACAACUAGCUAGGAACGGUCAAGCCCGCCGUUUUGACCGCAUUUUGAAACAGCCAUAAAAAAUUCAAAAAAAUCACAAAAUUGGAAAACCUUCGCAUUGUGUCAUCAUAUGUGACCAAGUUUCCAGCAAAUAUAAUAAACUUGUAAUACAGCAAUUAUUUUAAAAAAGUGUUCUCUGAAACGAGUUAUCAAGUGUGAAGAUUCAUGGCUUUCAAGCCAAAUGAUCAAUCUUAUGGCCACAUUCAUGACAUAGUUUGUUCAAAUGAUCUCAUAUUGCGCACAAGGGUGCAUCUUUGAAUGGCAGACAGUGUUUCCUAAGGAAGUUUUCAUUUUCUUUGGAAGAAAAAUUCAUUUUCCAUUUUUCGAGUGUCCGAAAUGAGUUUUUUUGUGAAGGACCUAUAAUAUAUUUGUUGCAAAAUUGUACCAAAUCAAUUUUCUAAAAUACUAGGACAUAUUUAAUGCAUAAUUGACCAAAUGGUUGGGUGUAAAAAGUUUUGAUCCACCUCUCGUGAAAUAGACAAAUUCCUGCCGAUUCAGUUGAAAGCGGGUCAAAUUUGAACCGUAGCUACCUCGUAGUUUGCUCUUCAUUUUUUCCAAAAAUGAUUUCUAGGUUCAUAAGUAUCUAUUUAAUCAGAGAAACAUCAAAAGGUCUCCAAGAAUCAACAACUAGCUACGAACGGUCAACCCGCCGUUUUGACCGCAUUUUGAAACGGGCAUAAAAAAUUCAAAAAAAUGAAAAAAUUGGAAAACCUUCGCAUUGUGUCAUCAUAUGUGACAAAGUUUCCCGCAAAAAUAAUAAACUUGUAAUACGGCAAUUAUUUUAAAAAAGUGUUCUCAGAAACGAGCUAUCAAGUGUGAAGAUUCAUGGCUUUCAAGCCAAAUGAUCAAUCUUAUGGCCACAUUCAUGACAUAGUUUGUUCAAGUGAUCUCAUAUUGUGCGCAAGGGUGCAUCUUGGAAUACAGACAAUGUUUCCUAAGGAAGUUUUCAUUUUCUUUGGAAGAAAAAUUCAUUUUCCAUUUUUCGAGUGCCCGAAAUGAGCUUUUUUGUGAAGGACCUAUAAUAUGUUUGUGGCAAAAUUGUACCAAUUCAAUUUCCUAAAAUACUAUGACAUAUUUAAUGCACAAUUGACCAAAUGGUUGGGUGUAAAAAGUUUUGAUCCACCUCUCGUGAAAAGGACAAAUUCCCGACGAUUCAGCCGGAAGCGGGUCAAAUUUGAACCGUAGCUACCUCGUAGUUUGCUCUUUAUUUUUUCCAAAAAUCAUUUAUAGGUACAUAAGUACCUAUUUAAUCAGAGAAACAUCAAAAGGUCUCCAAGAUUCAACAACUAGCUAGGAACGGUCAAGCCCGCCGUUUUGACCGCAUUUUGAAACGGGCAUAAAAAAUUAAAAAAAAUCAAAAAAUUGGAAAACCUUCACAUUGUGUCAUCAUACGUGACCAAGUUUCCAGAAAAAAUAAUAAGUUGGCCGCUACGCGUCGGCCGGCAGAUGUUUUGUAAACAUCCGCCGCCUGUACAACCGUCCGAUAUGUGCCCCGACAACCGUCCGAUCCAAUUACCGCGUGCGUGACUAUUCCUGCAACAUCCGCUCUAUUUCAGAAACAAAAAGCCAUGUCUGCCAUGCAAACACACCUGCGCGUGGUGCGGCGCCAGCCUCGCCACUGCGAAAAUGCUGCCGCCGGCGCGCUACAGGGCUGAAGCCGUCGACGGCAAAUCCUGCAACACAAUGGCGCACCACAUCGCGCGGCGCAUGCUGGGAUCCGAUGCAGAUUGAGCAAGCCGUGACUCCCUGCUUCGAGAACAGCCGUGGAAGUCGUUCUCAGCUCCGACCACCACCGCGCUCUGGAGUAUCGUCGUGGCUCACAACCCCCACCCCACCCCCAGUGUGUUUCCUGAAACCACUUCGACAAUAUCAAAUUAGGGCAGCUGGGUAAGUUUCUGAAUCUGAAUCCCUGAGCUGCGUGUCACUGUAACUGCUGUAGAUCAUAUUUAUCAAAAGCGGUCUGUUUGAUUCAUGCAUGUGGCAGCUAAAAAUAAUGUUUCAGAAUUAUGUGGGUGAAGCCAAGGCACAACCCUAAACCCCUGCCUUCUUCUUGUAUCUCUACAACAUGUAUCUGAAACAUCUCAUUUUUGUUGUUUAUCAACAGAAGAAACACAUAGCUAGUUGUUGUCUCUGGUUUCAAUUUUGUUUGUGAAUGGCAUGGAUUGCAUGAAUUUCUGAAACAGCAAAAUACAACUGUUGAUGCCAUGUAUGUGUCUAUGCCAUGUAUCUAUCUAGGCCAUGUAUCUGUUGAUGCAUUGUAGAUGAAAUUAGGAAAUUCCAGCAAUUUUGAAAAUUCUGAAAUAGCAAAUAUAACUCUUGAUGCCUUGUAGAUGAAAAAAGUGACUGUUGCACAACACCUGCUAUAUUUUACGAAAAUAAAAACUUGUGUCUCAUUUCAGGAACCUGUGACUGAAGGGGAAGGGAGCUAUGUCCAAGGAAACUUCUCUGUCCAUGAUAAUGAAGAUUCAGAUGGUUUGUUGCAUGCUGAUGAUGCGAUGCAAGAUGAUUCGGAUGAUGGAGAUGUUUCGUCGCAGCCACUACCACCGUAUGUUGGCAUGGUUUUUGACACAAUUCAGGAUGCAAAGAAAUUCUACAAAUGACUAUGCCUUCAAGUUGGGUUUCGGGACACACAUAUCUUCAACAAAGUACAGCCAGAAGAAGGGACAAAAACAAGACGAUGCUGUAAUGAUCAAGAGGGUCUUUGGGUGUGUGCACGCUAGAAAAGCUGAUAAACCGGAAACAAGUAGCACCUUGGAGAGCAUUGCAAAUAGAAGCAAGCAACACCAGCAGGCGGCCUAGUUCUACUAUGGAUAUAAAAAGAAGACGCCAGAAGAACAGGAUUACAAGAUAAUCCAAACAAAUGUUUUCUUAUGAUCUGUUUUUGUGGCCCUUGUGUCCUUUUGGGAUGCUACAUAUACAACAUUGAGCGCCAAGCUGCUGGUUACUACACACGAAACGUCUUUGGCAAGUUCCAGAAACAAGUCACUGCUUCUACCGGCUACAUUGUCAACCAAGACACCGAGUACCAAGGGCAAGGUCUCCUGUUCAAGCUAACAUCAAGCUCAUAUGAGAACCCAAAGCUCUAUUCCAUGCAUGUUAUGUUCAAUGAAGAGGUGUUUCAAAUGCAGCUGCCACUACUUUGAGAUGAAUGGCCUGGUUUGUGCCCACAUAAUAAGGGUGAUGGUGCACCUCAAUGUUCAAGUUAUUCCGCAGUGAUACUUGUUGGAUAGGUGGUCUGAAGCAGCAACAACAAGCAUGGCCAGAACUAGGCGAUUGCUGGACUUCGGGUAGCCCUCCACAAACACACUGAAAUACAACUCCUUGUGCCGAAGGUUAACAUGACUUACCUCGAAUGCAUGUUGCAAUGACGAUGCUUACAAAAUAUUGGAUGACGCAAUAAAGGUUCUUGAGCCUGCCAUCGUAGUGGUGAGGAGAGGAGCACUGCCAGUACAGCAAGCAUCACAGCAGAGUGAAACACCACCACCACCACCAGCUGCCGUAACGGAAACAUUGCAUGAUGACCUGCCACAACCAGAUAUGCUACAGAACCCAGCUCGUGUGCCUAAGAAAGGGAGACCAACUAAAAGGGAAAAGAGGAAGAAGACUUUGGUAGAGCAGCGAGAUGACAAGCUCAAGAAGAAGUCGAAACAAGAAGAGAAGAAGACAACGACAGCAGGGAAGCCAAAAUCUGAAACGAGCUAUCAAGUGUGAAGAUUCAUGGCUUUCAAGCCAAAUGAUCAAUCUUAUGGCCACAUUCAUGACAUAGUUUGUUCAAAUGAUCUCAUAUUGUGCACAAGGGAGCAUCUUGGAAUGGCAGACAAUCUUGCCUAAGGAAAGUUUUCAUUUUCUUUCGACGAAAAAUUAAUUUUGCAUUUUUUCAGUGCCCGAAAUGAGUUUUUUUGUGAAGGACCUAAAAUAUAUUGGUUGCAAAAUUGUACCAAAAUAAUUUUCUAAAAUACUAGGACAUAUUUAAUGCACAAUUGACCAAAUGGUUGGGUGUAAAAAGUUUUGAUCCACCUCUCAUGAAAAAGACAAAUUCCCGCCGAUUCAGCUGGAAGCGGGUCAAAUUUGAACCGUAGCAACCUUGUAGUUUUCUCUUUAUUUUUUCCAAAAAUCAUUUCUAGGUACAUAAGUAUCUAUUUGAUCAGAGAAACAUCAAAAGGUCUCCAAGAUUCGACAACUAGCUAGGAACGGUCAAGCCCGCCAUUUUGACCACAUUUUGAAACGGGCAUAAAAAAUUCAAAAAAAAAUCAAAAAAUUGGAAAACCUUCGCAUUGUGUGAUCAUAUGUGACCAAGUUUCCAGCAAAAAUAAUCAACUUGUAAUACGACAAUUAUUUUAAAAAAAGUGUUCUCAGAAACGAGCUAUCAAGUGUCUUCAUGGCUUUCAAGACAAAUGAUCGAUCUUAUGGCUACAUUCAUGACAUAGUUUGUUCAAAUGUUCUCAUAUUGUGCACAAGGGUGCAUCUUGGAAUGGCAGACAAUGUUUCCUAAGGAAGUUUUCAUUUUCUCUGGAAGAAAAAAUUCAUUUUCCAUUUUUUGAGUGCCCGAAAUGAGUUUUUUUGUGAAGGACCUAUAAUAUAUUUGUUGCAAAAUUGAACCAAAUCAAUUUCCUAAAAUACUAGGACAUAUUUAAUGCACAAUUGACCAAAUGGUUGGCUGUAAAAAGUUUUGAUCCACCUCUCGUGAAAAGGACACAUUCUCGCUGAUUAAACCGGAAGCGGGUCAAAUUUGAACUGUACCUACCACGUAGUUUGCUCUUUAUUUUUUCCAAAAAUUAUUUCUAGGUACAUAAGUAUCUAUUUAAUCAGAGAAGCAUCAAAAGGUCUCCAAGAUUCAACAACUAGCUAUGAACGGUCAAGCCCGCCGUUUUGACCGCAUUUUGAAACGGCCAUAAAAAUUUCAAAAAAAUCAAAAAAAUUGGAAAACCUUCGCAUUGUGUCAUCAUAUAUGACCAAGUUUCCAGCAAAAAUAAUAAACUUGUAAUACGAUAAUUAUUUUAAAAAGUGUUCUCAGAAACGAGCUAUCAAGUGUGAAGAUUCAUGGCUUUCAAGCCAAAUGAUCAAUCUUAUGGCCACAUUCAUGACAUAGUUUGUUCCAAUGAUCUCAUAUUGUUCACAAGGGUACAUCUUGGAAUGGCAGACAAUGUUGCCUAAGGAAGUUUUCAUUUUCUUUGGAAGAAAAAUUCAUUUUCCAUUUUUCGAGUGCCCGAAAUGAGUUUUUUUGUGAAGGACCUAUAAUAUAUUUGUUGCAAAAUUGUACCAAUUCACUUUUCUAAAAUACUAGUACAUAUUUAGUGCACAAUUGACCAAAUUGUUGGGUGUAAAAAGUUUUGAUCCACCUCUUGUGAAAAAGACAAAUUCGAGCCGAUUAAGUUGGAAGCGGCUCAAAUUUGAACUGUAGCUACCUCGUAGUUUGCUCUUUAUUUUUUCCAAAAAUCAUUUCUAGGUACAUAAGUAUCUAUUUAAUCUGAGAAACAUCAAAAGGUCUCCAAGAUUCAACAACUAGC